UUGCCAUCAUUCAGUUGGGCACUCUAGAGAGACUGCCGAGGACAACUCGGAGGAAGGUGGGGAUGACGUCAAAUCAUCAUGCCCCUUAUGUCCUGGGCUACACACGUGCUACAAUGGCUGGUACAAAGAGACGCAAGACCGCGAGGUGGAGCAAAUCUCAAAAACCAGUCCCAGUUCGGAUUGCAGGCUGCAACUCGCCUGCAUGAAGUUGGAGUUGCUAGUAAUCGCAGAUCAGAAUGCUGCGGUGAAUGCGUUCCCGGGUCUU
rnacentral:rRNA from 1 species